rnacentral:rRNA from 1 species
GCGCACGCAGCGCGGUUGGAUAAGUUAGAUGUGAAAGCCCCGGCCUCAACCUGGGAAUUGCAUUUAAAACUGUCCAGCUAGAGUCCUGUAGAGGGGGGUAGAAUUCCAGGUGUAGCGGUGAAAUGCGUAGAGAUCUGGAGGAAUACCGGUGGCGAAGGCCCCCCCCUGGACAAAGACUGACGCUCAGGUGCGAAAGCGUGGGGAGCAAACAGGAUUAGAUACCCUGGUAGUCCACGCCGUAAACGAUGUCGAUUUGGAGGCUGUGUCCUUGAGACGUGGCUUCCGGAGCUAACGCGUUAAAUCGACCGCCUGGGGAGUACGGCCGCAAGGUUAAAACUCAAAUGAAUUGACGGGGGCCCGCACAAGCGGUGGAGCAUGUGGUUUAAUUCUUUUUUUCGCCAAGAACCUUACCUGGCCUU